rnacentral:sRNA from 1 species
GCUGGGCGUGGUGGUGCAUGCCUGUAAUCUCAGUGGCUUGGGAGGCUGAGGCAGGAGAAUUGCAAGUUCAAAGUCAGCCUCAG